GUCCCCGGAGGUCAACAUCCGCCAGCGCGUUGCGCCCGCGGAUGUCGUUUUC
rnacentral:sRNA from 1 species